rnacentral:tRNA from 1 species
AACACAUCAAAUUCAAAAGAGAAACGCUUGCUCUUAGUUUCCGUUGUCAUAAUUAUUGUUCCGUAAUCAUUGAAAGU